UGAGGAAUAUUGGUCAAUGGCCGGAAGGCUGAACCAGCCAAGCCGCGUGGAGGAAGAAGGCGCAGAGCGUCGCAGACUCCUUUUGUCGGGGGACAAACGGCCGCACGCGUGCGGCUCUGAGGGUACCCGAAGAAAAAGCAUCGGCUAACUCCGUGCCAGCAGCCGCGGUAAUACGGAGGAUGCGAGCGUUAUCCGGAUUCAUUGGGUUUAAAGGGUGCGUAGGCGGCGUCUUAAGCCGGCGGUGAAAUCGCGGGGCUCAACCCGCGAGCCGUCGGAACUGGGAUGCUCGAGUGUCGGCGAGGCAUGCGGAAUGCGCGGUGUAGCGGUGAAAUGCAUAGAUAUCGCGCAGAACCCCUGAUUGCGAAGGCAGCGUGCCAGCCGCCCACUGACGCUGAGGCACGAAAGCGCGGGUAUCGAACAGGAUUAGAUACC
rnacentral:rRNA from 1 species